GGAAGGUACAGGGUCUUAUAACAUCUUGUUAUAAAUAUGAAGACAAUAUUUUGGUAUCUGUGUGUUGUUUUCUCAAUACAAAGUGUCACUUCUCAAAUUUCCCUGGAGCAGUUUGGUAAUGGGAUAGUGAAACCAACAGAGGAACUAUCAUUGACCUGUAAAGUGACAGGUGCCUCACUGACUGAUAGCUCCAAGAUAUGGUCAGUGCUAUGGGUCAGAGAAGCUAUGGGAAAAGGAUUGGAGUGGCUGGGAGGUAUAUGGCAUGAUGCUAUUGCACGCUAUGCUCAGUCUAUGCAAGGACGUCUGACUGUGUCAAGGGACACAAAUAAAGGGGAAGUUUAUUUUAAACUCACUGGAAUGAAGACAGAAGAAUCAUCCACAUAUUAUUGUACAACAGAGCACACUGUGACAAACCAACUGACAGAAUGUGCAAUAACUUACAUAUGA